ACGAACGCUGGCGGCGUGCUUAACACAUGCAAGUCGAACGGAAAGGCCCUGCUUUUGUGGGGUGCUCGAGUGGCGAACGGGUGAGUAACACGUGAGUAACCUGCCCUUGACUUUGGGAUAACUUCAUGAAACUGGGGCUAAUACCGGAUAGGAGCUACUGCUGCAUGGUGGGGGUUGGAAAGUUUCGGCGGUUGGGGAUGGACUCGCGGCUUAUCAGCUUGUUGGUGGGGUAGUGGCUUACCAAGGCUUUGACGGGUAGCCGGCCUGAGAGGGUGACCGGCCACAUUGGGACUGAGAUACGGCCCAGACUCCUACGGGAGGCAGCAGUGGGGAAUAUUGCACAAUGGGCGGAAGCCUGAUGCAGCAACGCCGCGUGCGGGAUGACGGCCUUCGGGUUGUAAACCGCUUUCGCCUGUGACGAAGCGUGAGUGACGGUAAUGGGUAAAGAAGCACCGGCUAACUACGUG
rnacentral:rRNA from 1 species